CCCAGAUCGGGGGUGGACAUCUUCUCUGGCUCCUGGUUAGAAACUGUCCGUCAGCCAGCUUAAUUAACCUUUGUUCAUUCCUGCCUUUUCAGUUUUCCUGUGAGUGCCUUUCUCAGUGAAUUCACUUGCUGUAUCACAUGGAGGCCCACGUGAGAUUGGCUUCACAGAAACAAAUAAACAAAAACCCUCGUGUUUGAGGAGGUCCUAUGCCUCCUGGCUUUCACAGCUGCCCUUUAGGUGGCAGGGUGCCUCCAGCUGCUUUCAGGUGGCCACCUGGGGAUGACUGCAUGCCAGGAUACCAAGGCUGCAUAAGCAGAAUGGUAAAGCCCCCCUCCAACCUAGUGCUGUGCUGGGUACAGUGAUGCCUCACACGGCUUCCUCUCUGCAGUGAACCACACACUACUAAGGAGCUCACACAGUACAGCGCUCAGGUGAACGGGAGUUUUCCUCUUCGGGAAGUUUUCUUUAAGAAUACGACACAGUUUGUGGUUUAUGGGAAUACUUCUCCAAAUGUUUUUCCUGAACUUCGUUUCUUUUAAAUCCUUGCAGAGUUUUUCAAUAAAGAAUAUAAAUAAAAAUUUGAAAUUAGUCCUAAAUCUCUCUAAGGACAGUUUUACUUU
rnacentral:lncRNA from 1 species